CCUACGGGCGGCAGCAGUGGGGAAUAUUGGACAAUGGGGGCAACCCUGAUCCAGCCAUGCCGCGUGUGUGAAGAAGGCCCUCGGGUUGUAAAGCACUUUCAGUGAGGAAGAACGCCUGGUGGUUAAUACCCAUCAGGAAAGACAUCACUCACAGAAGAAGCACCGGCUAACUCCGUGCCAGCAGCCGCGGUAAUACGGAGGGUGCGAGCGUUAAUCGGAAUUACUGGGCGUAAAGCGCGCGUAGGUGGCUUGAUAAGCCGGUUGUGAAAGCCCCGGGCUCAACCUGGGAACGGCAUCCGGAACUGUCAAGCUAGAGUGCAGGAGAGGAAGGUAGAAUUCCCGGUGUAGCGGUGAAAUGCGUAGAGAUCGGGAGGAAUACCAGUGGCGAAGGCGGCCUUCUGGACUGACACUGACACUGAGGUGCGAAAGCGUGGGUAGCAAACAGGAUUAGAUACCCUUGUAUC
rnacentral:rRNA from 1 species